rnacentral:rRNA from 1 species
UACGUAGGUGGCAAGCGUUGUCCGGAUUUAUUGGGGUUAAAGGGUGCGUAGGCGGUUUUCUAAUUCAGCAGUGAAAUACGGCAGCUCAACUGUCGAGGUGCUGUUGAUACUGGGGAACUUGAGUACUGAUGAGGUAGGCGGAAUGGACGGUGUAGCGGUGAAAUGCUUAGAGAUCGUCCAGAACACCGAUAGCGAAGGCAGCUUACUAAGGAGUAACUGACGCUGAGGCACGAAAGUGUGGGGAUCAAACAGG